GGGGCAUCAGCAGAUGAGGUCACAUAUUCAGAGCUCACUAUUAAAAACAAGAUAUCUGUGGAUAAAGAUGCUGGAAAAAGAGAUGUUUUAAUUGAGAUGAAAACUGAGGACAAUCAAAGAGGGAAAAGCAGUGAGUGUGAAGACACUGUUUACUCUGAUCUGAAGCAGAACACAGACAGAGGUGGCAGUGCUGGAGUCGAUGCAACUUAUGCUCAAGUUUUUAAUCACCGAAAGAAAAAAACCUGCAAGAAUUGAUCAAGUUUAUUUUAAAAUACACACAUUUACAUGUAGAAGAAAUGCUGAAAUCAAUCAAUGAUCAGAUCAUUAAUUAAAAAAGACACCUGACAAGACAAAACUGGAUUUCCAUGAGAUUUUGAGAUGUUUUUUAUCCAGUCUUGACGUCAACAUGUAAUGAGAGAAUGCCGUUAAAUGCCUUCACAUGCAAAAGUUCUGAUCAUGUUUCUUGUAUUUUGUGUCGGGAAGUUUGUACACAAACCUUCUGCUUUUAUAAUGCGCUUAUUUUAAAUGUGUGUUUAAUAGUGCAACAUUUAUUGUAGUUGGGACACUUUCUUGUUUAAGUUCAGAAUUUGCUCUUUCAUGUAAAUUGUAAACUAACUCUUACAUUAUAAACCUGCGUAUGUGUGUUUCUAUAAUGUCAGUGUAACUAUAUUCACCUUUAAAUUAAUUAAUUACAUUUUCUGUCUGUUCUGCAGCGCCUCAAAGUUACAAGAAUCACUUUAACUUUAAUAUCAGUAAUAUUUUCAUCAGUUAAACACAGUCUUCAUGUCUGUGUCGAAGAUGUGCCCGAAUUUAUGAGGAUUUUGCCAAGAGAAUAAGACUUUUAUUUAAGAUUUAUUUUUCAUGUUUUUGGAUCAGUUGAUUGUUUUUGUUUGAAGUUUCUCAGAUUUUCUGUCAUUUUGACGUUAAAUAAAAACAAAUCUGAUGUUCUUCUCAUGAGCAUUUAUCACACUUAAAAUAGUGGGACCAUUUUUAACCCUGGGUUAAUAUAAUCUGGGGUUAUAUUGUUUUCUAUUGUUAUUGCCUUUAUUGUCCAGAAGAUGGUGUCAAUGUAUCAGCUUUGAGUUUCUGAACCGCUUUAAACUGUUUAUGAAAAGUUUAAUAUUCAGAACUGUGUAAAAGUUUUAGACAUUUCUGGAAAAUGCUG